GGUUAAGCGACUAAGCGUACACGGUGGAUGCCCUGGCAGUCAGAGGCGAUGAAGGACGUGCUAAUCUGCGAUAAGCGCCGGUAAGGUGAUAUGAACCGUUAUAACCGGCGAUUUCCGAAUGGGGAAACCCAGUGUGACUCGUCACACUAUCAUUAACUGAAUCCAUAGGUUAAUGAGGCGAACCGGGGGAACUGAAACAUCUAAGUACCCCGAGGAAAAGAAAUCAACCGAGAUUCCCCCAGUAGCGGCGAGCGAACGGGGAGGAGCCCAGAGCCUGAAUCAGCAUGUGUGUUAGUGGAAGCGUCUGGAAAGGCGCGCGAUACAGGGUGACAGCCCCGUACACA
rnacentral:rRNA from 1 species